GGAGGGAGCGAGCGUUGUUCGGAAUCACUGGGCGUAAAGGGCGCGUAGGCGGCCGAGUAAGUCGUGUGUGGAAGACCGGGGCUCAACUCCGUGUACUGCAUGCGAUACUGCCCGGCUGGAGAAAGGUAGAGGCGAGUGGAAUUCCCGGUGUAGCGGUGGAAUGCGUAGAUAUCGGGAAGAACACCUGUGGCGAAGGCGGCUCGCUGGGCCUUUUCUGACGCUGAAGUGCGAAAGCGUGGGGAGCAAACAGGAUUAGAUACCCUGGUAGUCCACGCCGUAAACGAUGGGCACUAGGCGUUGGGAGGAUUGACCCUCUCAGUGCCGUAGCUAACGCGUUAAGUGCCCCCCGCCUGGGGAGUACGGCCGCAAGGCUG
rnacentral:rRNA from 1 species